GAUUUUGAGGAGGUUAGAAUUGGAAGGUGGCAUUUGGGUGUAGUAUCCUGGGUCUGCCCCUGGUGUGGAGGUGAUGGCCGGCCUGGUGGCAGUGGUGGAGAGGGAUCUGAUGCGGAGAGAGAGAUAUGCAGGCGUGGACGUAAGAAGCAGAGGUUUAGAUGAUGAUGACAGCGGCGGAGAGAGGGUUUUCGGAGGUGGACAAUGGAGAGGAAGAAAAGAA
rnacentral:misc_RNA from 1 species